UCAGCCGCCGCGGUAACACCAGCACCUCGAGUGGUCAGGGGGUUUAUUGGGCCUAAAGCAUCCGUAGCCGGUUGUUUAAGUUCUCGGUUAAAUCUAUGCGCUUAACGUAUAGGCUGCCGAAAAUACUGGACAGCUAGGGAGUGGGAGAGGUACACGGUACUCAAUAGGAAGGGGUAAAAUCCUUUGAUCUGUUGAUGACCACCUGUGGCGAAGGCGGUGUACCAGAACGCGCCCGACGGUGAGGGAUGAAAGCUGGGGGAGCGAACCGGAUUAGAUACCCGGGUAGUCCCAGCUGUAAACGAUGCAGACUAGGUGUUUGGACGGCCACGUGCCGUUCUAGUGCCGCAGGGAAGCUGUUAAGUCUGCCGCCUGGGGAGUAUGAUCGCAAGGUUGAAACUUAAAGGAAUUGGCGGGGGAGCACAA
rnacentral:rRNA from 1 species